UACGGGGGGGGCAAGCGUUGUUCGGAAUUACUGGGCGUAAAGCGUGCGUAGGUGGUUCGUUAAGUCUGAUGUGAAAGCCCUGGGCUCAACCUGGGAAUGGCAUUGGAUACUGGCGAUCUAGAGUGCGGUAGAGGGCAGUGGAAUUCCCGGUGUAGCAGUGAAAUGCGUAGAGAUCGGGAGGAACAUCUGUGGCGAAGGCGACUGCCUGGACCAGCACUGACACUGAGGCACGAAAGCGUGGGGAGCAAACAGG
rnacentral:rRNA from 1 species